CUAAAAACCUGGCAGGGGAGAUACCACGAUCAGGAAGGUGGUUUUCCCAGGGCGAGGCUCAUCCAUUGCACUCCGGAUGGGCUGACCCCUGCGCUUUCCCCAAAUGUGGGAAACUUGACUGCAUAAUUUGUGGUAGCAGGGGACUGUGUUCGCGCUCUUCCCUG
ensembl:snRNA U1 U1 spliceosomal RNA